AUGAAAACAAGGGCACGCUCUCGUGCCAAAGCACUGUAGGAAAUAAGGAAGGGGGAAGAGGGAGCUGAGAUUUAUGAAAGCGGCUUCAGCUGGGGCCCACCUAAUGUGGCCUUUUUUUUUUUCUGACUAUGGCCCAUCGGGCAUACAACCACGGAGUGGGAAAUCGCCUUAGUCCCAAACCCCCUUCUUUUACAGGUGAGGAAACCAAGAGCAGACAGGAAGUGACCUGUGUCUUCUUUUCCUGUCCUGAUGCUCCCCGACUUAUUGCCUUACUUCUCAAAGAGCAAGAGUUGGGGCAAUGUGGAAAAAGAGGCUGAGACAUCCUUGAAAAAGGAGUCUGAACCAGCGAACUUUUUUUUUUAAACAAGAGAAUUUCUAUAGAGUUUUUGUUUUUUGUUUGUUUGUUUUACUACAUGCAAAUCUGCAUUCAUUAAUCAAUCAAUAAACAGUAAGUACCCACUAUGUGCCA
rnacentral:lncRNA from 1 species